UCAAUUGAUUUCAGUAAUUUUUAGUGUAAUGUGCCACAUAUAUAUGUAGCAAGACACUUAAUUUUGCAAAGAUGAGCAUUUAUACACAUUCAUCCUUCACCAUUACAAAAUACACAUUUAAUUCAAAAUCAAACAUUUUAUAUUAAGAAUUAUACAUUAAAAUGCUCUAACUGCUAACCAAGCUACAAGAACAUUGUAUUAAAUGGGUAAACAGAACAAUUUACAAAUGGAAUGAUAUCUGAAUCAUGUGGGAUAUUCACGAUGAAUUAUAUACCUACACUGCCAUAAGUUUAUUGACAUGGAUUGAGGCAAAAACUAUCACAUAAUUUUGCUAGCUGUGUACACACGUCUGAUAAGAAGUAGGGGCAUUGUUAUGUGACUUUGCUUUUACCAAUAAAUAUACUAGCUUCAUGUUCAGAUUUUUGACUCGUUCAUAUGAUUGUUUUAAGCAUACAACCUUUGUGCUUACUUUGUACAUGGCAUGAUGACAUUUAGAAUUGCAACAAAGGAACGAAUGAAUAAUAAUAAAGCCUUCAUAGUUGCUCUAUCACAAAUAAUCAAUUACUUUGCUUGUUUAUUUCAUAUACUUCAUGUUUUAAUACAAUAGAAAGCAGUGAAAGGUUUUACUGAGCUACAUUUAUGUACAUUUUUGUAGUAUUAUAUUUAUAAAUUUGACCUCAGUUUAAUGGCAUGUUUAUCUUUCCGAACCUUUAUAGCUCAUUUGGACGAUGCUUUCUCUUAUUAAUUUAAGACUAGGUACUUAAUCAAAGAAUUUAUCUUUACUAACUUCAAAAGGUUGGCAAAUUGUAAUUCGGACGUAGCGUAUUAAAUAUUUCUUAGCUCACACAUAUUAACGCAAGCGAUAACAAAUAUCAAUUUUAUCCCUUCCAGCGACUAGUACUAGCAACUUGUACUUAGUAGGAUGUACUGUCUGUCUGGUAUAUAGUCCAAUUUGGGUUGGGAAAAAACACGCAUGUGGAGUUAAAACACGGAUAGAGGAUUAAACACGGAUCUUCUUAAAAUUUUACUUCUUUUGAUGUGGUGGUGUUUAGCAAAAUUAUCAUGAAAAUGAUUUUCAUCGUAUGCUUUUGUUUAAAUUGUUCCAUGUGCCAAAUUGUAGUAAAGUAAACAAAAAUGUUUUAACACUUCAAUCAAAAAAUGCUUCGCAAAAAUUUAUUUUACAUGUGAAUAUAGUUAGCAUGUAAGCACUCUGCCAAAGACAUUAUCUAUACAUGUAGGUUAAAUGUAGCGUGUAAAAUGAAGUAGAAUUGCAUUUUUGAAAGAAGAUGUUUGUAGAAAAGUUUAUGUUGAAUUCUUGGGAUUGUUUAUUUCUGUACAUGCAUACUUGAAUGUGCAUUAUGUUCUCUUGGAAUCAACGUUCUCUGCUGUUAACACUAAAAUACAUUCAUAGCACUGAAAAUUCAUGAUUUGCGUUUGUUAUGCAUAUAGGCCCGUUCACACGACCCGAUUUGUCGUAUCUGAUUGUUUCGGUUCCGACUUUAAUUUGGUUACUUGCUCAGACGAUCGGAUGAUUUUGUUGAUAUUUAUGUUCGUUUAGAUAUUUAUAUUUGUGUUAUCCAGAAGAUUUAUCGAUAUAUUUUUCGUAUUUUGUUCUUUUUUACUUGUCCUUUUCAAAUCUGUGUAAUUUGACUAAUCAGUUUUCUUUGAGUUUGUUUGAUGAAAAUAGAACAAGCUUUAUUUUCAUACGAUUUUUUAAAUGGGCAAAUCAGACUAUCGUACGCUCACUUUGUGUUCAUAGGAUCCGUUUUCUAAGACCGAAAAUAGAACAAGCUUUAUUUUCAUACGAUUUUUUAAAUGGGCAAAUCAGACUAUCGUACGCUCACUUUGUGUUCAUAGGAUCCGUUUUCUAAGACUGAAAAUUUGUCAGUAAACUAUGUAAUAAACUAACAGUUGCACCGAAUUUAAUCGUUUUCAAGUAACAAACAAUGACAUCGAUUUCAUUAAAGUUGAAAUACAUAAAUGCUUCUUUUAUCUUGUUAUUGUCAAUAUUAUAAACAUGCGAGUGAAUUAUAUUAGUAAAUAUGAAACAUGGCAGUACAUUUUACACUGUUUGAACAUACCUCUUUGUUAAUUUUGAAUGAGCGUAAACAUACAAUACAUAAAAGGAAUAAACACACUCCAAAAAACAUUAUGUUGUAAACUCAAAAUUCGAGUUAUAAAAGCAAGAGACAAGAUUCAAAGCAAUAUUUCGACUUUAGUUCAAAGUCAUUAUCAAGCUAAGUCAUUGUUUACAAACAUGCGUGAUCUUAAAUAGUUGUUACAAGGAAAUGACGUAAGCAAUGAAAAGAAAGAAAGGCGAUGAAAGGAGAUGUUACUGUCUAGAAUUACACCAAUGAAAUUAAAAAAAAUAUCAAAAUCUUCAGCAGCCUUUAGUCCAGACUUGAGCUGAGGCUUUUUGAAACGUAUAUAAAUCGCCUCAAGGAAAAGCAAGGUGAUGAGCAAGGUCUUGAUGUUAAAGCCGAUUUUUAGAGUUCAAAGUUGCUUGAAGAUCAUUCUCUAUGGCGUUGUGAAAUACAAUGUUGUUUCUAUAGGACAAGUACUUUGCUUUUUGAAGUUGUCAAUGGUACAAAAAUUUUAGAUUAAGUCAGGUUCCACUGGAUCCGACUAGUCACGAACAGCUUUAGAAGCUGUUGAACUUUAUGAAUUAUUUUUCGUGAAACUAAGGAAUAUGAUUAUAAUUCAAACGUAAAUGAAAUAUCAAUGUAAACUAUAUAAAUGUUUAAUGCGUGAUCUCUGAACUAAAAAAUUCACAAUGAAUUUGCAAGUUGUUUUCAGAUUGAGCCAGCAAAACCGGCAGAAAACUACAGUAGGUAAACUAAUUUCAGAAAUUAAUCAACUGAAACUCAGAAUUCAAGAACUUCGAAUUGAGAGAGAUGAUAAAGAUGACAAAAUCGAAAAAUGGGUAAAUGAAAUCAACUUAGAGUUUGAGAGAUUUGCUUGUUUGAAGUUGACGAUCAAGGUAAAACAGGCCAACGGUGCUUGGGAGAAAGAAGAACCAAAGAAUAAGAAUUGCUGGAAAAUUACUGUCUCCCAAGCAGUGUCGGAUCUAGGGUUAAUCAAAAUAAAUUACUGCUGCACAUUUUAGAAUAUAUUUACAUUUUCAAUCCCCUCGAGACAAUUCCAUUGCUCACUGCUGCUCGCUGUGACUACCUCUCGAUCUGCUACUGCUCAAGAUUAAAUCGUGCAUAGACGGUUUAGCCUUUUCUGUCAAAGGAUAUCAGCGGGCAAAGAAUAUCCUACAGUGAAGUUUAAAGAUACCAGUGAAAUAUUCAGCGCCCAGAUGUACAGAACAUCAUGGAUUUACCUAACAUACCGGGAACACACUGCAUUAGGAUCCGCGCAAUUUAUGAUAAACUUUUUUCACCGUUCAAUCACUUGAAACUAUGGGAAAACUAAAAGGUAAACGGGAACAACAUUAUGUCUGUCUUGAGCUCAGACAUGAAAACUAAUGGCUUUAAGUUGAUGAGAUUAAUUGUUGAUGUUGGUGGAGAAGCUUUAAGGAUUACAUUGAGGAAACAACUUUCAGGUACUGAUUUAUUUAAUGUUUUAAAUGACACAGAAAAUCAUCUUAAGCUUUUGUCGCUAAAAUGUAAGCAAAUAAAGCAACAUCAAUGGGAUCUACUGUAUCCUCCUCCUCCAAUAUUACCAAAUGAAAAUAAGUUUGACAUUACUUUACUUUGUAUUCUCCUGCGUAAUAUUUGUGGUUUAAAACCACCUCGUGAUCCAAUAUGGAAACAUGCCUAAUGUCAAUGAUCAUUCAACUGAAGCAGAUAUUACCCGUAUCAGGUUAUUUCGUAAUGGUCGUUUUGCUCAUUUACCUAGCACUUCAGUAAGCUCUGAUGACUUUGAAAAUUUUGGCUGGAAAUAAGCGAACCAUUAGUUCGUUUAGGAAUAAGUCAGGAAGAAAUAGAUAGAUUGAAAAAGAGUUGUUUGGUAAUGAAGAAUAUAAAAGAAUUUUGAGAGAAUGGGACGGAUUAAAGAGCGAUUUAACUGAUAUCAAAACUGUUCAGAGAGGUAUUAAGAGAACAGUGGAGGAUGUAGAGAAACAUUUAGAAUUAUUUAAAGAAGUACAUGAAAUACGACAUCACCCUCACUUACGUCCAGAAGAAGAUAUUUUGACAAAAAACCUUGUUAGCUGUAACUUUGAAAGUGAAAUUAGGCAUCAUUAUGAAAAAUAUUUGCAUGGAACACGGGAAUGGGUUUUUAAAGAGUUUUUAGAUUGGUUUGAAGACGAAAGUUCUCAAAAUCGUGCAUUUAUUAUCUCUGCUGUAGCUGGCAUGGGAAAGUCUGUAAUUGCAGCUACUUUAUGUAAACGUUAUUCACAAUAUUUGACUGCAGUUCAUUUCUUUCAACACAACAACAGUCGUUACAAUAAAGCCAAUGUACUUCUUCAA